rnacentral:tRNA from 4 species
CAAUAGCUCAGUUGGAUAGAGCGUCCCCCUCCUAAGGGGAAGGCCGGGGGUUCGAAUCCCUUUUGGC